ensembl:snRNA U2 U2 spliceosomal RNA
AUCGCUUCUCGGCCUUUUGGCUAAGAUCAAGUGUAGUAUCUGUUCUUAUCAGUUUAAUAUCUGAUACGCCCCCGAUUCGGGGGCAACGUAUUAAACGCAUUUUUAGAACAGGGAGCUGAAUAAGGGGCUCGCUCCGUUCGCUCCACGCAUCGACCGGUAUUGCAGCGCCCCGGGAACGGUGCCCCUUUG